CCUACGGGGGGCAGCAGUGGGGAAUUUUGGACAAUGGGCGCAAGCCUGAUCCAGCUAUUCCGCGUGUGGGAUGACGGCCCUCGGGUUGUAAACCACUUUAGUAGAGAACGAAAAGGAGCUAUCGAAUAAAUAGCUCUGCUGACGGUACUCUAAGAAUAAGCACCGGCUAACUACGUGCCAGCAGCCGCGGUAAUACGUAGGGUGCGAGCGUUAAUCGGAAUUACUUGGCGUAAAGGGUGUGCAGGCGGCUGAGUCAGACUGAUGUGAAAUCCCCGGGCUUAACCUGGGAGCGGCAUAGGAGACUGGGUGGCUAGAGUGCGUAAGAGGGGAGUGGAAUUCCACGUGUAGCGGUGAAAUGCGUAGAUAUGUGGAAGAACACCGAUGGCGAAGGCAGCCUCCUGGGACGCAACUGACGCUCAUGCACGAAAGCGUGGGGAGCAAACAGGAUUAGAUACCCCAGUAGUC
rnacentral:rRNA from 1 species